UACGAAGGGGGCUAGCGUUGCUCGGAAUCACUGGGCGUAAAGCGCACGUAGGCGGAUUGUUAAGUCGGGGGUGAAAUCCUGGAGCUCAACUCCAGAACUGCCUUUGAUACUGAAGAUCUUUGAGUUCGGGAGAGGUGAGUGGAACUGGCGAGUGUAGAGGUGAAAUUCGUAGAUAUUCGCAAGAACACCAGUGGCGAAGGCGGACUUGACUGGUCCGGUUCUGGACGGCUGAGGCGCGAAAGCGUGGGGAGCAACAGG
rnacentral:rRNA from 1 species